rnacentral:lncRNA from 1 species
AUGGAAACAUUAUUCCUUCCAGGCUCCCGCACCUCUGGCCUGUGCGCCGCCCGGCCGUGGUGGGCGCGCAACCCCCGACAGAGAGUCUGCACCAGCCCCGGACAGGACGCGGCCCGCCACAGGCUCUCCGUUCCGAAUUCCCACGUCCCGCUCCGUCCUGUGGGCCCCGCUCCCCGAGACACACGCAGGGGCCGAGGAGGAGGACUUCAGGGCCAGGACGCCCCGCCGAGGGCGCGAGCACAGCGCCGGGAGGGCAGGCAAAGCCUCGAUCUCAGUAGAAGCCCCCUCAGCCUGCACCAGAGCCCCGGGUCUCCGGCUAAGGCCCGGGCGCCAGCGGGAGCCCCAACGGAAGAGGAGCAGGAGCGGCCGCCACUAGGCUCAGCGCACGGCUCUCGGGCGCCACCCUGUGGCCACAUAGAGCAGCGGCGGGCCAAAGCUGCGGGGCCUGAGUCUCUUGUUUGUUUUAACCCUUGAUACUGGGGAUUGAACUCAGGGUUUCCACACUUAGCUACAUUCCCAGCCUUUUCAUUAUUUUUAUUUUGAGACAGGGUCUCCUGAAGUCACUAAAUGGUCCAGGCUGGGCUGAAACCUGGCAUCCUCCUGCCUCAGCCUUCAAGUACUAGUAUCACAGGUGUGCACUGACAUACCAGGAUGUUUUGAAAUUGAAAGGCCUUUUAAAUAACGUCGCCUCUGAAAUGAUUUGAGUAGGGAUAACCCUGGGGCUUGACACUGGGUCACUGUGCAGGUGCAGGAUUCCUGCAAAGGGAAAUUUGACCUAGGAGCUCUUGUGGAACGUGACACAAUCUCUGUGUUUAAGACAGGGUUUCACUGAGUUACGCAAGCUGGCCUCAGACUCAUGAUCCUCCUGCCUCAGCCUUCCCAGUGCUGGGAUGACAGGCAUGCACCACCAUGCCUGCUCUGGCGCAAUCUUUGGAGCACUACAUUUAGCCAGUGAGGAUGUUCAAAAUGGCAUUGACUGCAUGCGGGGCACUGAUAUAAACUUUUUGAUGUGCUUUAAGCUUCACCAAGAUUCCUGUGGUAAACACUAUUAUGAUUCUCUUUUUGGGAGCGGGUAAAGUCUUGCUAUGUAAUCCAGUUUGGUCCUGAACUCAC